UAAAUAACUUGGGUGCUUAGCUGGGGAGUGACUUUCUGUCUUGGUUUGUCCGGCCCUGGUACUGCUGGCAUCGGCUCUCAGGGGGAAAGCUGCAGUUCUGCUGUUAAAACACAAGGAGCAGCCUGGAGAAUUUUGAGCUGCGUCACACAGCUCAGAGGGAGAGAGUGAGAGCCAGCUCUGUCGAUAGGUCUACUAGCAACAGCCUACUGCAGCAAGAGACAGAGAGAGAGAGAUCAUGCAAGAGAAGUAAUAACAACAUUGGGAAGCAUGGUUCCUUUUCAAUCCAGCAUGCUUUUUUUUUUUUUAAAGGAACAUUAUUUGGGAACUUGUUGAAGAUCAGUGGAUUUUGUCCACUGAUGGUACCGGAAAGAUGCGACGCAAUUAAUCCCGCAAAGGUGGGGGAGGCAGAUAUAGGAAGGGUUAAUGGGAGGAAAAUUCUGGAAUGUUCUGUGCUGCGGCAGAGCGAACAGAGGGUUGAGGACUGCACAGGUGUAGAUGAACAGAUCUCAUGGUUCCUCUAUUAAAUACGCUUUAAUAGUCCCAGGAAGAAUGAACAAGCAUAGUCUGCUAUUCAGAAGGAAGGAGACAUAACCAGGAAGCCAUAUCUGGAAAUGGACAUGAUACGUGAAAGGAGAAGAAGGAUAGAUGUGACAGAUACCUACCUCCUCUGAUACAUUCUCAAGCAUAACUUCGUUUUUAUUGUCUCUUCUCCGUUGUCAAGCUUUCUGCCUAAUUUGAAAUUCUUCCAUUGGAAGUGUACCACCUUCGUUUCUCCUUCUCCCCACUGAGAGUCCUUGCUCUGCAAAGCUUUCUCCUCCAGAGGCAGUCUUGCAUCCUGCGGUGCUAAUUCUGCAGAGGAGGGCAAUCAAAGAUCCAUCUGUGAUGGGAUACACUCAGGCUGAGAUUUUGCUUCUUCUGUCACGAACAAAAAAAGUAUAUGUUAAAAAUUGAUCUUGCAGUGCAUUUAUAGCAAUAUCUUGAAUCAGGUGCCAAAACAGGCUAUGGAGUCUGAAGACAAUGUCUGAUAGCUGCCAUCACAUCACUUCUGCUGUAAAAUAAGAUUUGCUAGUCUUUAAUGCCAUCAAAAACAGAUGUGGUAAAAACGAACUCAUUGAUUCAAUAUCCUCUCUACUAAGGACUCAAUUCAAAGGUUCAGAGAUGGCUAUCACAACCUAGAGCUCCAUCUUUUGUAUUACUAUGGUCUGCAUCCUCAUACUUGAAAGUCCCAGGAGAAGAACAUGCAUCUGAAUGUAUUCUCUUCUAAUUGGAGCCAGGGACUACAAUGGCUUUCUACUACAGUAAAAGAACUACAGAAGAAUUAAACUAAAGAAGAUGAUAAUGAUGAACAAAGUCAAAACUUUAAGAAAGUAGUUUGGUUAGAUGCUUGUGGCUUACUACAAGAGAUAACCAAAUGGUAAGUGCUAUAGGAAUAAUUUUGAUAUACAGGUAGUCCUUAUUUAACUACUACCCUGUUUAGCGACCAUUCAAAGUUAUGAUUGUGGUCUUUUACUUAAUGAGCAUUGUGGUGUUCCUAUGGUCACAUGAUUGAGACUCAGGCAUUUCACAAUCAGCAUUUGCAAAUACUGCAGUGUCCCACAGUCAUAUGAUCACCUGCUUGCAAGCUUCACAGUUGGCUUUCGGCAAAGAGAAUCAAUGGAGAAGCUGGCAAUGAAACGCAAGUUACAGUCUUGUCUCACUUAAUGGCUACAGGUUAAUUUUCAUUUAACAACCACAGCAGAAGUGAGCUUGUAAUUCCAUCAUGUGAUGUGAUGCUUUGCUUAACAUCACACUGUUAAUGAUGGAGUUGCCACUCCCUGUUGUGGUCCUUGUCAGAAAAGCCAAUGCUUGUGGUAGAGAAUAAAGGAGAAUAUUUGGUUGACGUGAGGGGUCCUUGGUGCUCUCUGACCUUGCUUGUUUCCUUGCACACUUUUCAUUGCCCUAAUUAGGUGACAUCAUCAGUGCUAGUAAGGAGUGCUGUUUGCUGUCAGUUCAUAUUCUGGUGACUUGCCUGUCUGUGUGGGUAAGAGUGGUCUUAGAGAUUCUUUGGUUGGGCUGUUUACUGAUGCCUCUUUGGCAAUUUUUUGAUUGGGGUAUUGUUUACUUGACUGUUGGUGUGAAGUGAAGCUUGGAAUUAACUGUUGAUCUAGGUGCUGAUUACUGGUGGAGAUGUGCUGGAGUCCUUUUGUUCUCUUUUGGGCUGGUUGAUUGUCUCUUUUGCAUAGUCUAUAGAUGUUGUUAAUGUCUAUGUGUCUAUGGAUGGCUGAUUUGUCAGAGUGCCAGACUUCUAGAAAUUCUCUGGCAUUUUUGGACUUGGCCUGAGGAGUAUCACAUUUUCCCAAUUGAAACUAUGGUUAAAUCUGUUUAUUGUUGUGAAAUUAAAUAAUUUUCUUCAUGUCUUCUGCGGAUCCAAAAUACCUGGAAGAGCAGUAACUUGAGGAGAAUUAAAAACUAAUAAGGAAAAUGAUUUUCUUAAUUGGUUCUAUGCUUUGUUAUGUCACUCUCCUUUUUCUUUUUUAUACUCCCUGAACUUUUGAGGUCCAUUCUGGGAACCAAUUCACUGUAGGAGUGGUAGCUCCCCUUCAUUGGAUAUGCUUAAGUUGAUGCUAGUCAGGCAUUUUGGGGAAUGUUUGAAUUUCUGUCUUAAGAAGAAGAUUGGAUUCUGUCACCUAAUAACAUUUCUCAUUUUUAUUUUGGGAUAAUAUAUGAUAUCCAGAGUAAGCUUGGGAAAUAUACAUUGGAAGGAAUAAUUUGUUCUGAUAGUAGAAAAUUCUACUGGACACAGUUAAUUUUAAUAUGCUAUAGUAAUGUUUGUUUUUAUAUGCUGUACAUCUAAAUAGGAAAUGCAAGCUUCCCAUGCUAAUAAAUAAUUUAAUGUUAUACUUCUUUCUUAAAUCUAUUUCUUUACCAGAUAGAAUAUUCUCAGUUUUUAAGUAUUACGUUGAGUGAAAUGUUGCUACCUAUUUUUGCUAUUGUAUGUAUUAAACAAAAACAAAAGAAUUUCCUUCUAGGAAACUUGCUGGACAACUUCCUCUAAAAUGCAUAGAUGCUGAACAUGGAAACAACAAUGUGUCUU